rnacentral:rRNA from 1 species
CAGCAGUCGCCACGGUAAUACGAAGGGGGCUAGCGUUGUUCGGAAUUACUGGGCGUAAAGCGCACGUAGGCGGAUAUUUAAGUCAGGGGUGAAAUCCCAGAGCUCAACUCUGGAACUGCCUUUGAUACUGGGUAUCUUGAGUAUGGAAGAGGUGAGUGGAAUUCCGAGUGUAGAGGUGAAAUUCGUAGAUAUUCGGAGGAACACCAGUGGCGAAGGCGACUGACUGGACAAGUAUUGACGCUGAGGUGCGAAAGCGUGGGGAUCGAACAGGAUUAGAUACCCCGGUAGUCCCUGUCUCUUAUAC